rnacentral:rRNA from 1 species
UACAGAGGGUGCGAGCGUUAAUCGGAAUUACUGGGCGUAAAGCGUGCGUAGAUGGUUAUGUAAGUCGGAUGUGAAAGCCCAGGGCUCAACCUUGGAAUUGCAUUCGAGACUGCAUAGCUAGGAUGCGGAAGAGGGAAGCGGAAUUUCCGGUGUAGCGGUGAAAUGCGUAGAGAUGUGGAGGAACACCGAUGGCGAAGGCAGCCUCCUGGGCCAAUACUGACGCUCAUGCACGAAAGCGUGGGGAGCAAACAGG